rnacentral:rRNA from 1 species
UACGUAGGGGGCAAGCGUUGUCCGGAUUUAUUGGGCGUAAAGAGCGUGUACGCGGCUUUACAGGUCCGUUGUGAAAACUCGAGGCUCAACCUCGAGACGCCGGUGGAAACCGUAAAGCUAGAGUCCGGAAGAGGAGAGUGGAAUUCCUGGUGUAGCGGUGAAAUGCGCAGAUAUCAGGAGGAACACCCGUGGCGAAAGCGGCUCUCUGGGACGGUACUGACGCUGAGACGCGAAAGCGUGGGGAGCAAACAGG